UACAGAGGUGCCAAGCGUUAGGCGGAAUCACUGGGCUUAAAGCGCGUGUAGGUGGACGGGUAAGUAUCUUGUGAAAUCCCACGGCUCAACCGUGGAACUGCUGGAUAUACUGCUUGUCUUGAGGCACUUAGGGGCGAGCUGGAACAAAUGGUGGAGCGGUGAAAUGCGUAGAUAUCAUUUGGAACGCCAAAGGCGAAAGCAGGCUGCUGGGAGUGAUCUGACACUGAGACGCGAAAGCCAGGGGAGCAAACGGG
rnacentral:rRNA from 1 species